rnacentral:rRNA from 1 species
GACGAACGCUGGAGGCGUGCUUAACACAUGCAAGUCGAACGAUGAAAUGGAGCUUGCUCCAUGGAUUAGUGGCGAACGGGUGAGUAACACGUGAAUAACCUGCCCUUAAUUUUGGAAUAACCCAGGGAAACCUGGGUUAAUACCGGAUAAGUAAACCUGUGGCAUAACAUGGUUUUUGAAAGUUUUUCGAUUAAGGAUGGAUUCGCGGCCUAUCAGCUUGUUGGUGAGGUAAUGGCUCACCAAGGCGACGACGGGUAGCCGGCCUGAGAGGGUGAACGGCCACACUGGGACUGAGACACGGCCCAGACUCCUACGGGAGGCAGCAGUGGGGAAUAUUGCGCAAUGGACGAAAGUCUGACGCAGCGACGCCUCGUGAGGGACGAAGGUCUUCGGAUUGUAAACCUCUUUCAGCAGGGACGAAGCGAAAGUGACGGUACCUGCAGAAGAAGCACCGGCUAACUAUGUGCCAGCCGCCGCAGUAA